rnacentral:tRNA from 23 species
UCCUCUUUAGCUCAGUUGGUUAGAGCAUCUGACUGUUAAUCAGAGGGUCCUUGGUUCGAGCCCAAGAAGAGGAGCAA